GAUGAAGAACAUAGCAAAAUGCGAUAAGUAGUGUGAAUUGCAGAAUUCAGUGAAUCAUCGAAUCUUUGAACGCACAUUGCGCCCCAUGGUAUUCCGUGGGGCAUGCCUGUUCGAGCGUCAUUUACCCCCUCAAGCUCCGCUUGGUGUUGGGCGUCUGUCCCGCUUCGCGCGCGGACUCGCCCCAAAGGUAUUGGCAGCGGUCGUGCCAGCUUCUCGCGCAGCACAUUGCGCUUCUCGAGGCACCGGUGGGCCCGCGUCCAUCAAGCUCACCCCCCCAGUUUGACCUCGGAUCAGGUAGGGAUACCCGCUGAACUUAAGCAUAUCAAUAAGCGGAGGA
rnacentral:misc_RNA from 1 species